GACGAACGCUGGCGGCGUGCUUAACACAUGCAAGUCGAGCGGUAAGGCCCUUUCGGGGGUACACGAGCGGCGAACGGGUGAGUAACACGUGGGUGACCUGCCCUCAGCUCUGGGAUAAGCCUGGGAAACUGGGUCUAAUACUGGAUAUGACUCCACGGUGCAUGUCGUGGGGUGGAAAGCCUUGUGCGGCUGAGGAUGGGCCCGCGGCCUAUCAGCUUGUUGGUGGGGUGANGGCCUACCAAGGCGACGACGGGUAGCCGGCCUGAGAGGGCGACCGGCCACACUGGGACUGAGACACGGCCCAGACUCCUACGGGAGGCAGCGGUGGGGAAUCUUGCGCAAUGGGCGAAAGCCUGACGCAGCGACGCCGCGUGAGGGAUGACGGCCU
rnacentral:rRNA from 1 species